UGGGGAAUCUUCCGCAAUGGACGAAAGUCUGACGGAGCAACGCCGCGUGAGUGAAGACGGCCUUCGGGUUGUAAAGCUCUGUUAUUCGGGAAGAACGAUUCGUUUGUGAACAAUGAACGGAAGUGACGGUACCGAAAGAGAAAGCCACGGCUAACUACGUGCCAGCAGCCGCGGUAAUACGUAGGUGGCAAGCGUUGUCCGGAAUUAUUGGGCGUAAAGAGCGCGUAGGCGGUAUGAUAAGUCUGUCUUAGAAGUGCGGGGCUUAACCCCGUGAGGGGACAGAGACUGUCAUACUGGAGUCUCGGAGAGGAAAGCGGAAUUCCUAGUGUAGCGGUGAAAUGCGUAGAGAUUAGGAAGAACACCGGUGGCGAAGGCGGCUUUCUGGACGAGCACUGACGCUGAGGCGCGAAAGCGUGGGGAGCGAACAGG
rnacentral:rRNA from 1 species